rnacentral:rRNA from 1 species
GAAAAGAACUUUGAAAAGAGAGUUAAACAGUACGUGAAAUUGUUGAAAGGGAAACGAUUGAAGCCAGUCGUACUGACGGAAAAUCAACUUUUCGGGUGCCUAUCGUGGGUGACGUUGAGCCUCACGGUCUUCGUUGCUUAUGUGUUGGUAUCUUUGGAGUGCACUUUUUCGUAUGGUAGGUCAACAUCGAUUUUGAUCGUCAUAAAAUGAUCGGAGGAAUGUGGCUUCGAUUUCGAUCGGAGUGUUAUAGCCUCUGGUAGAUGUGGUGAUCGGGACUGAGGAUUGCAACGAAUACCCUUCGGGCUAUCCGUCUGACCUCUGAUGGUUAGCUGGGUGCCGAAAGCGUGCUUACGGUUAUCCAAGUUGACUGUCAAUAGAUUAGAACGUGAUUACAUUCGUU